rnacentral:rRNA from 1 species
GUCCACGCUGUAAACGAUGGGCACUAGGUGUCGCGGGUAUUGACCCCUGCGGUGCCGCAGCUAACGCACUAAGUGCCCCGCCUGGGGACUACGGCCGCAAGGUUAAAACUCAAAGGAAUUGACGGGGGCCCGGCACAAGCGGUGGAGCAUGUGGUUCAAUUCGACGCAACGCGAAGAACAUUACCCGGGCCUAGACAACAGAGGGCCGUCUUAGAAAUAAGGCCUUCCCUUCGGGGACCGUCUGGUUCAGGUGCUGCAUGGCUGUCGU